UGUUUGUCAUGUUUUAAUGAAGUAUCAAUUGCUGUCAAUGCAAUGUCCAUUUAUCGUUCCGAAUACUCCCCAUUUGGGCAAAACAUACGCACAAAAUAACUGUAAAGGCCUUCAGAUCACACAUUUUCACCUAUAACAACCUUUUUGAAAUCUGUUACGGAUUUCUUAAACAAACUCAGAUGUUUGUGGAAACAGGCAUGUGAUUUUUCAGGUUCAUUGUCGAGUAGGUUGGGAGUUUGUCUAGUGUGCAUUUUGAGGGAAUUCAGGAAGAUGAAAAAACACAUUUGGAAAACGAAUCACAUGUGUCGAGAUCAACAACAAACUUCAAAUGUUGCGAGUAUUAUUUCUCUUUUGGACAAACUUGACUGAGACAAAAUUUGCAGAAGCCAGGACAUGCUCAGUCAAAGUGCAUACACAAGGAGAAAGGCAAAAAGUUAGCAAGUAAAAGAAUUAUUACCAACACAAAUAUGUCAGUGAUCGCUUGUUUAUUGAAGACUCAGUUCUGUCAGGAUGAUGUUCGUUUAUCUUUCGAAAUUUUCCCCUGCGGGGGAAUGAUCAUACUCCCGAAAUCACUGCCACGACCUUUAGAUUACACAUCAUUUUAUCUGUAACAACCCUAUCCAAAUCUGCUGUGAAAAACAUUGAAGAACAAUGUUUGGUGGCAACAGGCAACGUGAUUAUUAUCUCGCAUUAUUUGAGACAACUGUUCAUUGAGUUGAUAUAGCCUCACCCGUUUGGCAAUAAGGACAUGUAGCGGGGCUACUUUCAUUUUACAAUCGGGGCAGCCUGUAAAUAAUCACGUCCAGACCAGACAAUCAAGUGAUCAACAUCAUGGCUAUCCAUCUACGGUAUGGGGAUACAACGACAUGUGACAACAACGUCAGCGAGCCCCACCACCCGGACUCAUGUCGCCUCUCACUACAAGCACGGGGUUCUGAAGAACAAACAUGGUUCAUUUGUUUCCAAUUCUUACCACGCUUUUAAUCGUAUGAGUGAGUGAGUUUAGUUUUACACCGCUUUAGCACUGUUCCAGCAAUAUCAAGGCUUGGGGAAACCAGAAAUGGGCUUCACACGCUUUUUAUGUGCAAUAUGUGUUGUUUUAACACCUGACUAAAGGUGUCAGUAACCGCCAACACCUGUAGGUAUUGUGUCAGUCCAGCCGGGGAAGCUACUGUUUGUUUCCACGUAUGUAUAUCUUCCCUUUGUUUCCUAUCACUGUAUAGAUUUUAUAGAUACCGUAUUGCUGAAACACAACCGAUGUGAGUUUAAGUUUUAACUCACUCAAUUCUUGUUCUGGUGAGGAGAUGUUUGUGAAGGGCUAACAUUCCCGAACAUAACCUUCAUAAUAUACCUGUACCAUCAAUUUGGCCUUUGGUUUACUUCUAUGUUUAAGCUAACUUAAUGUUUGUCGUGAAUUUAUCAAGUAUCACAACUUCUUGAUUAAGGAUAUUUGAUGAUGUCCUGGACAAUUAUAUGCAUGUCAGAAAUUUGACAAAACUGAUUUCCAUGGGUGUUCAGUGGUUUUCCGAAUUCAUUAAAAUAAUCAAAGAUUGGUCGCAGUGACCAAACAACCAAGCAAUUGGUCACAUUUUCUCAUAAUCAAACUCAAACAAGUUUGGAGCUACUGUUUUAGUGUUUGAAACACUUGACGAUGGAGCAUAUCUUAUAAGUUGUCAGGGCCUGAAAACGUGUUUAAUUGUCAGAAAAAACAGUUUACUAACUGAAAAGUCAGGACUGAAUAUUUCUUGAAGACUCUGGAAACUUUAUGUUUAUGAUAUAUUAGUCAUCAC